rnacentral:tRNA from 1 species
GGUAAAAUGACUGAUAAUAGGUGAUAAACUGUAAAUUUAUUUAUGAGAAUAAAAUCUCUUUUACCA